AGAGUUUGAUCAUGGCUCAGGAUGAACGCUAGCGGCAGGCCUAACACAUGCAAGUCGAGGGGUAACGAUGUCUUCGGACAGGCGACGACCGGCGCACGGGUGAGUAUCGCGUUUGUAACCUACCUUUAACUGGAGAAUAGCCCGAAGAAAUUCGGAUUAAUACUCCAUAAUACUAUGAUCUGGCAUCUUUUUAUAGUUAAAGCUCCGGCGGUUAAAGAUGGGCAUGCGUAACAUUAGUUUGUUGGUGAGGUAACGGCUCACCAAGACUACGAUGUUUAGGGGGACUGAGAGGAUGGUCCCCCACACUGGUACUGAGACACGGACCAGACUCCUACGGGAGGCAGCAGUGAGGAAUAUUGGUCAAUGGGCGCAAGCCUGAACCAGCCAUGCCGCGUGAAGGAUGACAGCGCUAUGCGUUGUAAACUUCUUUUGUACAGGAAGAAACACUUCUACGUGUAGAAGCUUGACGGUACUGUACGAAUAAGCAUCGGCUAACUCCGU
rnacentral:rRNA from 1 species